rnacentral:rRNA from 1 species
UACGGAGGUGUCAAGCGUUGUUCGGAAUUACUGGGCGUAAAGGGCGCGUAGGCGGCAUGGCAAGUCAGAUGUGAAAGCCCCGGGCUUAACCUGGGAAUUGCAUCUGAAACUGUUGUGCUUGAGUUCUGGAGGGGGUAGUGGAAUUCCUGGUGUAGAGGUGAAAUUCGUAGAUAUCAGGAGGAACACCGGUGGCGAAGGCGACUUCCUGGUCCUAUACUGACGCUGAGACGCGAGAGCGUGGGGAGCAAACAGGAUUAGAUACCCCCGUAGU